rnacentral:rRNA from 1 species
GGAAUCUUCCACAAUGGACGCAAGUCUGAUGGAGCAACGCCGCGUGAGUGAAGAAGGUCUUCGGAUCGUAAAACUCUGUUGUUAGAGAAGAACACGAGUGAGAGUAACUGUUCAUUCGAUGACGGUAUCUAACCAGCAAGUCACGGCUAACUACGUGCCUG